AUUCUUUCCCUUUCUAGACACCACCCUUGAACAAUGCAUGCUUAUCUAAUUAUGUUUCCGUUUAAGAAACCCCAGAAGCUAAUCUUGAAACAAAGCAGGCACUUUAGGCUGUAGCAGGAAAGGCCCCGGGAAAUGGAUCUCCCGAACACCAAAUACAGAAGGAAAUAGUUUAUUGCAGCCCAGAGCUAAGGAAAUGAUCUGUCCAAAUUCAGCUCGUCUAACAAAAGAAGGUUCUGACUUUAUAUAGACUUAUACUUGAGAUGUUACACAUGGAAGAAUCUUAGGUUUAUAGGUUCAGAAAUCACAUAUGAAAAGGUUUCAGUUUCUAUUUUAGGACUCAUAUGUGAAAAGGUUUUGGUUUACAGCUUCAGGAAUCACAUAUGAAAAGGUUCCGGUUUACAGUUUUAGGAAUCACAUGUGAAAAGGCCUCUGUUUACAGUUUCAGGAAUCACAAAUGAAAGGGUUCUGGUUUACAGUUUUAGGACUCAC